rnacentral:sRNA from 1 species
UACUUGCGAGUGGUCCUCAUCAUGUUC